UACGGCUAUAUCACGUUGAAUUACCGUUUCUAGUACGAUCACCGGAGUUAAGCAACGUCGAGUCUGGUCAGUACCGAAAUGGGUGACCGGUUGGGAAAUCCAAGUGCUGUAAG